UACGAAGGGGGCUAGCGUUGUUCGGAAUUACUGGGCGUAAAGAGCGUGUAGGCGGCCAUGUAGGUCCGGUGUGAAAACUCGAGGCUUAACCUCGAGAUGUCAUCAGAAACCAUUUGGCUAGAGUCCGGAAGAGGAGAGUGGAAUUCCUGGUGUAGCGGUGAAAUGCGCAGAUAUCAGGAAGAACACCAAUGGCGAAAGCAGCUCUCUGGGACGGUACUGACGCUGAGACGCGAAAAGCGUGGGGAGCGAACAGG
rnacentral:rRNA from 1 species